AAUCCCCCGAAGGACAGCAACAAAUUAAAAACUGCAAAAUCAAAUUGUAAUUUAACACUGUAUGUGGUUUAUUAGACAAGUUAAGACUUCAUUGGUUCUUUGAAGAACCAUCAUAGACGGUUUUCUAAGCAACCAUAUUAGCUACCACUACAAAUCCUCUGUAUCAGCAUUAUAUUUGCAUAACAGUUCAGCUUUAAUAAAUACUACUUGUGAAACUACUAAAAUUUACGGUGAUAGAUACUGUAGAUAACAUUAAUCUCAAAUAUAUUGGUUUUGUAUCCCACAGUGUUAAAAUUGCGCAACACUGGCAUGUCAAUGCUUUGCUUUCACCACAGCACUGGGGUUAAUAUAACUAAACUAUAAACCAAUUUUCAGAGAACUUGCAGCUGAACUAGAGCCUUUUAAUUUUGCUCUCUGGCAUCAGGCCGUCUAUUGAGACCUCAGAGAAACAAGGACUUGUUUUUCAGUAACUUGCAACAAGGCCACUGGGUGUUUUUUUUGUGAAUAGCUAAAAUAUUCCUUUAAAAUGUAUUCAUUUCAUACCUUGGUAAAACAAUCACAUUGCUGUUGUUUGAAUGAUCUAAAUAACUUCUCACAAGUGCUGACAGCCGUUCAGCCAUUUUGCCAGCCAGCCAGCUUCCAUUGCAAAAAGGAAAUUGUCCUUUUUGGAAAAGCAAAACAGAUCUGAAUGGGCAGCAAGAAUCAAUGUUUCUAGCCUAAAGAAAAGGCCAGCUGCCUGCCCCCUACCAUCUAGGCCUAUAAUCUAUAACAACCACUACAUCUGCACGACUACAUCUGCUUUUCUAGCCCCCUUCUGUUU